AUUUUUAAGGCUCUUGUGUGAAUAAGGAGAAGUGCAGACAUGUGGGCAGAGCUGGUCAUUUUCAUUGUGGAUCUCAUGCUUGCUUUGGGCAUUUUUGCUAUCCUAUAUGCUGUUUACUUAAUAGCAGCCACGGGUAUUUUGAUCUUAAUCCUUCUCUAUAUUUUCAAAGGGGAGAUGGGAAAAAACUGUGACUUCAACAAGGGCAGAAUCUGGGUACUGGAUUCUGGCGAUGCUUCUGGAAGCCAUUCGCAGGCAACAUAGCGAGAAUCAGCUCCAGGAUGGUUCCUGUUCAUUUUCCAGCUUCAAGAGAAGGGCCUUCUUGCCCAAGGAGAGUGGUUCUCUCUUCUGAAGAGUGAGGAGCUCUCUGCAGUGGAGGAGACCCAUGGGAAGACUUGCUGGAACACCGGACCCACCCAUCUGAGAGGUCAAACUACCAUCUACACAUGAAUAACAAUGAAAUUCUCAUAAACAAGAGAAAUAUCCAGGAGGCAUGAAGAGUCGCAAUGCUUCAAAAAUGCACAUAUUAUGACAUUACAACCUCAGAAAAGAUAGAUUUUAUAACUAAAAGCUCAACCAUGAAGCGGAUAAACAAGCUAUUCAAUGGCAGAAUACUAACACUUGUUGAAAUACGUUUGGAGCUUUAACUAUAUAGAGUCACCAAAAUGUUCAAGAAGUAAAUUGAAAAAUUUUUCUUCAAAAAUGCCUUAGCCAAUCAAACAUGAACGUUUUUGCCAUUAUGGCAAAGCCGACCAUUGCCUCUGCUGGUAUCAGUGUGGUCCAUGGGGAAGCAUCAUCCUUCACUACCUGACUGAGGAACAGCGUGCAGGUCAUGCUAUCUUACAGUUUUGACUGGAUGUAAUUUCUCUCUCCACCAUAACACCUUGUCAAUACUUGUCACACUUAUUGCACUCUGUAUUUUACUUGCUUUGGUUAUUUGUAAAGUUUCCCCUAUUUCAUCUUCAAAUUAUCCCUAAAUUUUCACAACUGCACCUCAGCUGCUCUGUAUUCUCAACAGUGACUUUCCAAAUGUCAUGAAGAGUAAUAAAUAUUUUAUGAAUUAAUGAAUCCCCACAGAAUCUAAAUCCAUAUGUAUAAAUACUGUACAUUUCCAGGAAAGAUGAAAAUUAAUGAAGAAGAACCAUCAGCUGAGAAAUGAGCUUAUCAGAGUUCUCAAAAUUCAAUAAGAAAGUCCAGAAAUUAGGGUUCUAAACAUUUGUCCAUAUCUUUACAAAUGGUUCAUUCCUUAAGAGUAGUUAAUAAGCAGCAAAACUCUAGUUUUUAGGCAUCCACACUUUGUUCAUUGGAAGCCAAGUUGAGGCAAAGACAGUGUCAGAAGAGUAAUUGGGUUGGGCAGGUAUGUGAAGAGCCAUGGGAAAAGGAGAAACAGGGGAAGCUUGCCAUUCUGAAAUGUGGACCUAAGCAGUACUUGGUUCCCCGGGAAGCUGAGCAGGACACAGUAUGUGUAUUCAGGAAGUCUACUUUAGGCAGUUCUAUCCCAAACAACUGGAAUGGAAGACUGGAAAGAGCUAUUAAGCUAAACAACAGUGGGCACUGGGGGCUCAAUCCUCCAGGGGGUGCUCUCAAAAGCUGCAUAGAAUAUACCUCAAAAUUGUCCACCCGAAGGACAAACAAGAGAAUUACCCAUCUGCUUUCUUCUCCCUUUGGUCAAGAGUUGACCCAGGGAGUCUUCAUGACCUUGCACUUCCAGAAUUGUACAUGCUUUAGAACAGCUGAAUGGUUUCCAUAGGCAUCUUAAGAGAUGGCAAAAGAGAAGCUCCAGGACAGAGAGCAAGAGAUAGGUGUUGCCCUGACAGUAGAUGCUGUCAGGAGACACCGUCACCAAGCUGGCUGCUGUCAAAAGGCAGGCCAGAGGAGGUGAUCUGGGGCACAAGAGAGUGACUGACACCAGCUCUUAGUGGUACAUGCGUCUAAUGCGAAUCUAUCUGCUCUGGAAAUAAUGAGCACAGAAUCAUAUCCAUCCCUUCUGGACAGAGAAAGGGGAA